UCAUAAGUACUCGUACAUACAUUGUGGGAUUCGUAAACACAUAGCACGCGAAACACACACACAUUGUGGGAUUCGUACACACAUAGCAUGCGAACCACACGCAAUUGUGGGAUUCGUACACACAUAGCACGCGAACCACACACAUUGUGGGAUUCGUAAACACAUAGCACGCGAAACACACACACAUCGUGGGAUUCGUAAACACAUAGCACGCGAAACACAAACACAUUCACCAAAUGUGUGUGUGAAUUGUUUUACGCGCAUUUGCAACGUGCUUCCAAUUACAAAUUCCCACUUACGAAUACAAAUUCCCACUUACGAAUGUGUGGAUCGUUUUGAUACCCGUCAUGCGCAACUGAGAAGAACACAUGCAUUUUUUUAACUGGAGCCCGUCUUCAGCCAAUCAGACGUCUUCUUCUUAAACAGCCAAUCACAAGGGCUGGGCUGUUUCGUUACGUCACUGCUGUGCGCCUUCAAGUCCGGUGUACUGAGUGACAAGUGACAAAUGGGGAGCUUUUGUAAAAGUAGGAGCCCCGUUUUUGACAGCUCAACUCGACCGCGGGGACUAUCGAUGCAAGCUGAAGACGUCCCAUCCAUUUUGAGUGGGAGGACCUCCCAUGCACUUCAAAUGUAUUGGAUGUCAACUGGUGAAAAACUCAUUGAACCGCUCAGCAGAGGGAUGAUGAGAGCAAGAUUAGAUGUCUAAUACUGUACUAUAUGUGGCACAUUUUUAACAGGCUUUUUUUCCGCUAAAUAAAUCUUUUUAAGAUUACUUUCUCCAUUUCAAGCCUAUUUGAAAGUCAUACUUGGGAAAAUUCAGACUUCUUAAUGUAUGAUUGUGAUGUCUAUGCUUAAACCAAUUUAAGACCAUUUUAAAAGGAAAAAAAUAGACAUUAUAAGCCUGUUAAAAAUGCUACCUACAGUGACAGUAUUUAAAGGAUGGUAGUCUAUUACGGAUAUAAAAAAAUAUAUUUUUUGAAAGACUUGGAGCAACAGAGCUUUCUUGCCAAAUGAAUCACAUUUGAUACACUUAGGAUUUAGAACUCUUUCCUCAAAAAAAAAAAAAAAAAAAAAAAAAUGGAUGCAAGUCAACUCAUGCAUCUGCAUGUUCCAUGAGAAAAACAGGAUUUAACAAGGAAAAUAGAUAUUAGAGCGCUUAUUACACAUUUUUCUUUACAAAUUUGGAAAAAAAAAGGUUUAAGACCUUAUUUUUCACAUUUUGUGAUUCUCUGACAAUUGCCACAUGAAUUUUACUACCUUUUUAAACACUUUUUUUUAUUGCGACAAACCUAAUAAGUGAUCAAUGAUGGCAAGAGAGGAUAAAGCGCAGCAGCAAAUCCUCAGAUCUGUUCUUUGGAUGCCUUUGAAAGUAAAUAGUGACAUUGAGAGCAAUCAGGAGUUCAAUUAUGUGAGGUGAGGAGACCAAGUAAGUUUUGAGACAUUUUUUUUAUUUAAAUAGACAUCUCAGACUCCCAGCCUGUAGGAGGGCACAGGCUAGAUCUCCUCGAGCCUUCAGAACUUCGGGAAGGUGGGUCUGGUUGUGCCUGAGAUCUCCAUUGGCCAUAUACUCUUCCGCAAACUGAAAUGGCAUUUUAGGCAUUCUGUUACAUAUCAGUGCUAAACAACAACAGCAGCAAAGUUUUACUGCAGAGACUCCGAAAUCUUAAAAUCAUUACCUUUAAUGUGAAAACCCCACAGCUACUGUUGUUCUGCUGCUUGUUAUGGGCCACAGUUUUGGUAGUCCAAGUUUCUAUUUGGAACUCACGGCCCGCCAACCUCAAGAAGUUCCUAAUUAUUGUUUUAUAAGCAAAACAAUGAAGAUGAACAUUGAACUAUUAACUUCCAUAUUAACAUAAUACUAGGAAUUUAAACUUUCUGAAGCGGUUACCUCCAAUUCCGCAAGAUUUUGCUCAUAUUUGUCCUCGUUACUCAAGGGAUCGUUGAUCACCAGUGUUCUCUUAGAAAUGUGGACAAUCUAUAAAAGGUUAGUUCCUUUGUGUAAUUCUGCACAAUGACAGAUUUAUGUAGUUAACUUACUAAUGAAAUUUAACUUCUGUAUGGCAUCAGCUAAAUUAAUAGCUAUAUAUAAUACAUUCCAGAAUCGGUAGGUCUUAAGAAAAUAUAAGAAACCCACUAACCACUAAAAUCCAAUGAGCGCAUACAGGACAGGACAGGACAAAUACACUUUUUUUUUCAACAGGGAAUUUCCUCUGAAGAACAUACAAUACCAAAUUAUUGUUAUUUUGGGUUACUGGCGUUAAAAUAAUAUAGCUAAAUAUUGGCAUGAAAUGGAUUACCUUUCUAACAGGCUGAAAUUUUCCCAAAAGCAGACUCCCAGCUACCACAGCAGAGAGUUGGUGAAUGGGCUCCUGUUAAAAAAAGGGGUAACAACAUUACAACUAUACUCCGGCAAAAAAUAAAUGCAUUGAGAAAAACUAUAUCCAGCACUUGGCUGCUGCCUUUCAAUGAGGAUAUGCAUGUAUGCAUCAAAUACUUGCAUAGCAAAAUAAAAAAAUUGGCAAAAGGCAAGAAUCUUUGUUAUUUGCUAAACACUUAUUGCUCCCACUGACUUCAUCAGACAGCCAGCCGUUGCCUUUUAGCGUAUGAAAAGAUGUGUCGUAUAAUUUAUACGGUCCAACGACAGCCUCCACCUUGCCUUGAUCCUCUGCAGCCCACAGUAAUUUAACUGAAAACACAACAUUGUUAAAUCAAAAAAGUUAUUAUUUACGGCACUUGACCAGAUGACCAUCCGGUCAAAAUUAUCUACUGAAUAGGCCAAACCACCAAACAAAUCCUGUCGGUCGUUCACCAAUUUUGUAAGAGCUGUACGAAGUAGAAGGGUACAAUUAGAUAUACAUUUUAGAACACCAACAACAAC